AUCCUUUUAUAGUUCAUAAGCACGAUGAUUGGGUUCUCAUGCUCAUGUGUAAGAUGUGCCUCCCUCACAACUUGUUACAACUCCAGCACAUUACCUUUUUGACA